rnacentral:rRNA from 1 species
GAUGAACGCUGGCGGCGUGCCUAAUACAUGCAAGUCGAGCGAAUGGAUUAAGAGCUUGCUCUUAUGAAGUUAGCGGCGGACGGGUGAGUAACACGUGGGUAACCUGCCCAUAAGACUGGGAUAACUCCGGGAAACCGGGGCUAAUACCGGAUAACAUUUUGAACCGCAUGGUUCGAAAUUGAAAGGCGGCUUCGGCUGUCACUUAUGGAUGGAACUGCGUAGCAUUAGCUAGUUGGUGAGGUAACGGCUCACCAAGGCAACGAUGCGGAGCCGACCUGAGAGGGUGAUCGGCCACACUGGGACUGAGACACGGCCCAGACUCCUACGGGAGGCAGCAGUAGGGAAUCUUCCGCAAUGGACGAAAGUCUGACGGAGCAACGCCGCGUGAGUGAUGAAGGCUUUCGGGUCGUAAAACUCUGUUGUUAGGGAAGAACAAGUGCUAGUUGAAUAAGCUGGCACCUUGACGGUACCUAACCAGAAAGCCACGGCUAACUACGUGCCAGCCGCCGCCGUAA